GGGGCGUCUUCCGGGAGUCGCCAAACACCGGAGGUAGCGGGGUGGGUGUGGCAGCUGCCGUUUCCUGACUCCGCGCCUGCGCGGAAAGCCCUUUGAGGGAGUGCGGUCCUGACUUACUAGGGCUCCGCACUUCUCAGCCCGACAGAGAUUGAAAAGUAACCUUGAGAGAGUCCCUCCCCUGAUUCCAGGGAAAGUUACUAGAGGAUGUGCUCCAACAAAACAUGAGAGCAAGACAAGAAAGAGAAAGACAUGGGAUCCAGAAAAAAGGACCAGGAGAAUGUGAAGGGAAAUGCCAGGGUGAAAGAUAUGUGGCAGAAUUAGCAAUCGUUUUCACUGGAGAAGGAAGAUGGCAGACUCCAAGAAGGAAGACUGAUGAUGGAUAUACCAUAAUGUACCCCUCAUUGGUGGACACUUAGCUGGUUUCCACAUAUUUACUAUUACAAAUUAUGCUGCAAUAAGUAAUCGUUACAUAUGUCAUUUCAUACAUGUGCAAGUGUAUCCAUAUAUAUGUCCUAGAAGCUGAAUUGCUGGACAAAAGAGUUAUGUUCAUUUGUAAUUUUGGUUUGUAUUGUUGAAUUGAUCUUCACUGAGGUUCUUCCAAUUUUUUUUUUCUGCAGACAAAUGAGAGUGCUGUUUCUCCACACACCUUCUUUCAUUUCUUUUCGAGAUAGAUAGUAUAAUGUUGAUCUGCUGAUUCCUGGAUUUCAGUGCUUCUAAACUCAUUUAAAUGCUAAGAUUCUUUUUAUUGCAGCCCUUCUAAAUAUCUGGCUUCAAUUUGUUUAUCACAACCUCAAACCUUUAGCUUUCAUGAUAGUUUCACCAUUAUACAGCUUAAAAUAUAUGUAUUCUUAGUGAUAUGUACAUUGUUUAAUUAAUGCCCAUAAUGAAAGGCUGAUGACAGAAAACCUAAAGAAUACUGAUGCAAACUACAUCACCUAAAUGAGAAACAAAAAAAUGAGAAAAAUUAUGCAAAUUAGGCUAAAAAACAAGCCUCAGCACCUGUAUGUUGAAUUCAUCUAUUCAAAAUUCUGUAGAAUCAUAUUAAGUCAUAUUUUCCAUUUACUGAGAAUAAAGGUUAUUUAUAUCUGCAUGUGCUAUUUUAGGGACAUGGUAGCUUCAAAUGGCAUGCUUGAAAUCUCUCAUAGUCUGUUUUUUGUUUUGUUUGUUUGUUUUUUUAAGCUUCAAUGCCUUUUAUUCCUGUAAGUGCUAUUAUUUAUUUUUCUAAUUUUAUUUUUUAAAUUAAUUUUUAUUGUAGUUGCUUUACAAUGUUGUGUUAGUUUCUACUGUACAGCAAAGUGAAUCAGCUAUAUGUAUACAUAUAAUGUCCAUUGACAGAGGAAUGGAUAAAGAAGAUGUGGUAUAUAUAUACAAUGGAAUAUUAUUCAGCCAUAAAAAGGAAUGAAAUUGGGUCAUUUGUAGAGAUGUGGAUGGAGCCAGAGACUGUCAUAAAGAGUGAAGUAAGUCAGAAAGAGAAAAACAAAUAUCAUAUAUUAACGUUUAUAUGUGGAAUCUAGAAAAAUGGUAUAGAUGAUCUUAUUUGCAAAGCAGAAAUAGAGACACAGACGUAGAGAACAAACGUAUGGGCACCAAGGGACGAAGUGGGGGGGUGGGAUGAAUUGGGAGAUUGGGAUUGACAUAUAUACACUAUUGAUACUAUGUAUAAAAUAGAUAACUAAUGAGAACCUACUGUAUAUAGCUCAAGGAACUCUAGUCAAUGCUCUGUGGUGACCUAAAUGGAAAGGAAAUCCAAAAAAAGAGGGGAUAUAUCUCAUAGUCUUUUAAAUUAGAAACAAGACCGAAAAGUUGAAAAAUAAACUACUUAAAAAAGUACAAAUGCAAGAAUUAAAAACAUCUCGUAUUCUAAUUUUUUCUAUUUUUUGGUCUAAAAGCAUCUGGUAACCAUUGGGGGAAAAUGGGUAAAGGAUAUGUGGGACCGCUCUGUAUUAUUUUUACAACUUCCUGUGAGUCUAUUAUUAUGUCCAAAUAAAAAGUUUUAAA